rnacentral:rRNA from 1 species
UGGGGAAUUUUGGACAAUGGGGGAAACCCUGAUCCAGCCAUCCCGCGUGUGCGAUGAAGGCCUUCGGGUUGUAAAGCACUUUUGGCAGGAAAGAAACGUCGCGGGUUAAUACCCCGCGAAACUGACGGUACCUGCAGAAUAAGCACCGGCUAACUACGUGCCAGCAGCCGCGGUAAUACGUAGGGUGCAAGCGUUAGUCGGAAUUACUGGGCGUAAAGCGUGCGCAGGCGGUUCGGAAAGAAAGAUGUGAAAUCCCAGAGCUUAACUUUGGAACUGCAUUUUUAACUACCGGGCUAGAGUGUGUCAGAGGGAGGUGGAAUUCCGCGUGUAGCAGUGAAAUGCGUAGAUAUGCGGAGGAACACCGAUGGCGAAGGCAGCCUCCUGGGAUAACACUGACGCUCAUGCACGAAAGCGUGGGGAGCAAACAGGAUUAGAUACCCUGGUAGUCCACGCCCUAAACGAUGUCAACUAGCUGUUGGGGCCUUCGGGCCUUGGUAGCGCAGCUAACGCGUGAAGUUGACCGCCUGGGGAGUACGGUCGCAAGAUUAAAA